UCCGGUUCCGAUAAGACCCGCUAUCAGUAAGAAAAUCCGAUAUAUUCCGGUAAAACCGGUCCGUUUGACCCUGUGCUGUCCAAUUGCCAGCCUUAUGCCAAAACAAUGGAUGCAUUUGGAGACAUAUGUGGAAUAAUGUUAGAAUUUUUCUAUUUCUGCCUUCGUUAAACUGGAUACUAAGCUCUAUUGGGCAACGCUUAUGUUUUUAACGAGUUACUUUUGCAUUCUACUCAUGCUUCGACCUGUGUCCAGUGACUUUGCGCUUCAGUUGGGUGAUAGCACCGCCUGCUCAUCAGUUAUGAUGAGUUCAUGAUCGUGGUUCUUGCGUUAUGAGGUAAAAUCCUUGUUCUAUAUCUAGUUGGGCUUAUAUUAUGAUAAAUUAGGGUUAGAUUUAUAGGAUUGUUUUGUAGAAGUAAAAUAGGAAUUGCAGCGUAGGCAUGCACGUUUUUGAGAAUUAAAGAUAUAAUACUACUGCAACAACAUAUUGGAUAGCCGCUUAUCGUUGUUGUUGGUGUUUAGAAAUAAUGGAUUGUAUAAUUUGGAUAACGUUUCGUGAUUAAAUCCUGUAAAGGAAUGGACAUAAGUCCUUCACAUUAUACAAAUAUGCAUAUUAAUUGGAUGGCCGGCCAAGGAGUUAAUAUAGAAUUUACAGAUGCAUUAUGUCUUUCUUAAGUCAUUGCUGAAGUGUUGCAUUCGGAACUGGCAUUGGAGUUUUAUGUUCAUAAGGCUCUAUUCUGGUAUAAUUUAGAAUCAGUUUAUAAUUGUAAUUGGCUCACAAUUAUUGGGCAUCCUUUAUGACAAUGCUGACUAGUUUUACCUAUCUAUUACAGGUUAUAAUGGUAAUUUUAUUUUGUGCAGAUAACCAAGUAAAUGGUUUUCAGAAUUCUAGUAUUUCAUUGAAAAUUAUUCAUAUGCCUCAAGCUAUCAGAUUCCUCUUUUCACAUGAUGUAACUGUUUGAAAUUGAAUUUAAACUUUAAACUUUAAAUUCAAUUUCAAACUUAAGUUCAAUAUAAACUCUAAAGUUUGAAUUCAAUUUCAAAGUUAAGUUCAAUAUAAACUCUAAAGUUUAAAUUCAAUUUCAAACUUUAAACUUUAAAUUAUAUUUCAAAUUUUAAAUUUAAUAUAAACUUUAAACUUUAAAUUCAAUUUCAAACUUAAGUGCAAUAUAAACUUUAAACUUUAAAUUCAAUAUAAACUUUAAGUUUCUUAAACAUCUAAAAGACUCUUGCAGAAGCAAGUAUAAUGUAGAAUUUUGGUCUAAGAAUUGUGUGUGCAGCUUGAGAAGAGAAGUAGGACAAACAGUUGUGCAGCCCUUUCUCAUGUAUACUGGAAUAUGCUAUGAAAAGGAAGGGUAGUACGAUUUAUGAAGUGAAGAAUGGGUGAUAAGCUUUUUUGGCCAGAAUGUUUGCAAGUUGUUUUGCAGGUGCUAAUUGAUGCGUGUUUUCAGCUAGCUUUCUGAAUUUUUCUUGUCAAGACCAUAUAAGGAGGCAAUAACACACUCAGAAUAUGACCCACUGCACCUUUCUGUCAUCGUUGGUUAAUAUGGUUACGUCGUAGAGGCAUCCGAAAUUCCAGCAUUGUUCAUAUGAUCAUGCCUUCUUGAUGAAUUGCUCAAAGAAUGAAUAUUUUGAAAUUAUAGACGGCUUUGCAGACAUGUUCUCAUCCUUCUUUGUAUGAAUCCUCGAGUGGUCUGUUUGAUGCAGAAUAUAAGCAUAAGAUGUUAACAGCUAUAAUGCUAUCACGCUUAAAAGGGGGUUUUACCUUUACAUGAUUUUUCACAAAUGCAUAAAAGUUCAGAAGGUUCCACACCGUCUUGUCUAGCCUUUUGCCUUCAAUAUGGCGUGAAGUGAUAUCUGUGAAUGCCAUGAUGAAAAGGUAAAUAUCAGACCAACUCCAAUUCCAAGAUUUAGAGAAGGCAGGUGAACACUAAUAUAUGUAUCUUCUGAGCUUACAAGUAGACCUCUUCUCUUCAUUAAUUUCUUAUUCAAAUCACUACUCAUUUUAGGAGGUUCUUCUAGUAUGUUUUCUUUUCUCAAAGCUAUAAAUACUUUUAUUUUACCCCUACCAAUGUUUUCAUUUAUUUGAGAGAAACAGUAAUUUGCGUAGACGUGUGAGUUGUUAAUAGAAAAUACCAAAAGAGACAAAUCCUCCAUUUGUGCUCAAGUCUUCAAUUGCUUCUCCUCUUAGCUCAGGAGGUGGAAUAGGGGACCAGAUGCAAUGGGGUGCCUUGGCACAUGAUUUUGUAUUUGCAACAUCCAUGAGUUCCUGCUGCGGAAACUGUCAAUGUCCUGGACACUUGAACAAAGUCAUGCAUGCUAAUAACAUUACAAAGUCGUACAUGUUAUAAAAUUGUGUUACCUGGAAGAAAGCUGUUGCUAUAAUCACAUCUGUUUUCUCCUUGAAACGCAUUGGGAAUACUGCGGUGAUUUUCUGGGGCUGUCACAAAUGUAGAGUUUACGUAUUAAGAAGCAUGAGGCUGUAUUCUCUCAAACAAAUCUCAUAUUUUAGGAAGGAAUUUUUCUGUACAUUUUUUUGAUACAAUUAUUUCUCUUCAUUCAAGUUCCUUUAAAUAUGCCAAUUUGACUCAGAUCCCAUCAUAUAGUUGCUAUGCAUGUGUCAUAUUAUUUGAACUUAGCAAAACACAGUAGCUAUACUCAGUAGUUUGGAAGUAUUAUAUGGCGUAGUUUAUAAUUUGAUCUAAAACAUGCUUCUAGUGCCUGCAACCAGUUCUUCCUUCACAGUUUCCUGACUUGGCGUGAGAUAAGGUGUGUACUUUCGGUAUAACUGUGAAUAUAAUGUUUGCAAUUUGUAUGUUUACUGCAAGCAGGGUUUGCAACCCAAGACGGUAAGACUUUUGGUUUGAUGGUUUGAAGAAUAAUCACUCUGUAGAUAUUAAAGUCUGAAAUGGUCUUGAAAUUUGAUGGUUCCGAGAAAUAUGGUCUCACUUUAAUUUUUAAUUUCUCUUCCGUUUGUAGUAUUGUUUUGAGUAUUGCUAGCUGCAUGCCAAAUGAACUAAUUGUCUCUCAGAAAGGGCUUCAGCAUUUAUGGCUGCCCUACAUUGCAUUUUAAUCCCUCUAGUGAUGUUCCGACGAUGAGGAUCAACUACUGCCAAGUUAAUGUUAACUGAGCUAGUCUUACGAUGCGCAGAGCUACUUAUCUGCAUGGUGUGUUCAUUUACUUGUUCUUAAACAUUAUCACAUAAUGUGAGGUACCUGUUUUAUGACAUAAAACGGCUCUCUUGGGUGAUAAACAAGUUUGAUUGGUUUGUACAUCCCUUGAGCCACAUCUUGUGAAUUCACAUUCAUCAGCAUUUCUUCCAGCUGAGAACUCAGAAUUACACCUUGCACAGCAGCAAUGUCUGUUAUCAUUUUUAUAGCCUCUGAAAUGAACAAAAGACAACACAAAUUUUAUGAGCACCGCCGCAGUGUGAAAUGCUAUCAAAGUAGUAACUGAAAGAAGUUCAAUUUGGUUCGACUAUUGAUGGCUCAGUUUAUGUCUUAUCAUCACCAUAACAAAGUGGCAGUUGCUGACCACUUUAAAUUCAUUACUGUUUUCACUUGUGGUGCCACAUUUAAUUUUUUAUUAUUGCAUGAUCGAUUAUUCUGCUUCUGAGAUGUUUCUAAAGCAGGAUAAAGGGGUGGUAGGCAGCAUUGUUGAGAGGAGUUCCAAACCUUUACCAUGCGGCAUUCUACCAAAAUUGAGUCGUAUAGUCAGCUGAUAUCCUUCUUUUGGAGGCUCAACAAUCUCCACAACUUCAGCACUGAUAGCCUUUACCUUCUGUAUAGUGUAACGUGAAAGACGAGUUGAGACCAGGAAUGCUUGAGACAGAAUUGGGGUUGCUAUUGAUAAGUAGGUAUGAUCGGGAUCUGACACCAAUGACUGACAAAAUAUUUCAAAAAAAAAAAAGUUACGGACACAUAUUUUGGAUUGUUGAAAAUCAGCAGAGAUUUAAGCAAAAAAAUGCAUUUCUCAACUUGGAGUUCGUUUUUUAAAUAUAAAACUAGUUGCUUGAAUUGUUCUUCAGUUCGAAGGAUCUUCCUUUAGACAAACCUUGUCUUUUGUGCGAUGAACUUCAAUCAGGUAUGCAAUGUAUGCUUGUGGUUGUUAGUUGCCCUUACCUGAAUGUAAUAUUCAACGGACCCAAACUCAUGAAGGUGAUGGUCGGCAUCAAUAGCCCUUUCAUCUCUGUCUCAAGAAAAAACAAGCAUGUUCGUGGUAAGAGUUUUGGUUUUUACAUAUACGUUUAUUCAAAAACUUAAGAAGAAACAAGUUGGAGUACUGCUUACAAUUCAUCAGGUAAAUUCUAAAGGUUAAUUACUUACACUUGUUCCAGCUUAACAAUUCUAGAUGGACGUCUCUAUUUUAUUCUAUGUUUAUUGAUGUGUCUUUUCUUUGUCGGUUUCAUAUAAAUCUGUUGUAUAUAGUAAUGAUGUGGAUAGGAUUCAUAUGCUGAUCCCAACUUGUAGUCUAACUUGAUAUAAAAAUCGUGAUUAUUCAGUCCAAUGAGUUUGUUUGUAUGAGUAUGCUCUAAAUAACAGCAUGUCGUUUAUGCAGCAAGACCAACUUAGCAGGAACUUAGAGAAUAUGGUGCUUGGUUGAUUGGCUCGUCUCUUUCAAGCACUUUGCCUCUACAGGAAAAGAAUACUCAUCGACUUAACUGAGAAGUAAAUCUUGAAUACAUGACUUGAAGUACGAAGAACAACGAGUAUAGUUCAUUUUACCGGUAUAAUCUGAGCAGAAUCUCCUUCAAUGCUGGUGAUGCACGUUCAAAACGCGCCAUGCUUUGUAUGUUGAUCUUGAAAGUGGAAUGAUCUUCACAUGAAGGUAUGUAAAACAAGCUUUUUUACUGAUGAGUUGUUGUGGUAGAAGUAGUUCAGUUUUUAUAUUGAGUAAAAUGCAAGAUUCUAAUUUUGCAAUCAUUUUUAGUGUAUUUUGAAGCAAUUUAUUCACCAAACAAGACAAAUGGCACUACAUUUUUUUUUGUCUUCAGUUCAUAUGAUCAUUAUCUGUCAAUGCUUGUCUUCAAAGAUCAGGUAACAGAUAGAAUAAUUAAUCAUGUUAUAUAUGAUUCUAUGCACUGGUUACUGAGCUAUUAUUUUUUUUUUCACCCGGUGUCCGGAGCCCACAUUAAAGCCCAACUAAAUUCGGAUCGCGCACUGCAAGGCCCAUUCGGGAAUAACGCUCCCAAUAAGAUUUUCUCCAUACUCAAGGCUCGAACCCGAGACUUCUGGUUAAGAGUGAAGCACGCACAGUUAUUGAACCAUUAUUGAUCAUUAUUAUAUGGUAUCCACUUCACUUGGUUGUUGCAUGUGUGCAAAAUCAAUCAAGAAGAGAUCUUAUUGUAUAAUUAAGUUAAUGAGUUUUUGGAACUACUUAUAUAUUUUUUUAAAAAAAUAUUGAUUUGUUGGAUCUUA